GGAGAUGUGGCCGAGUGGUCGAAGGCACACCCCUGCUAAGGGUGCAGACGGGAAACUGUCUCGAGGGUUCGAAUCCCUUCGUCUCCGCCA
rnacentral:tRNA from 1 species